CUAACCCCUACCUGCUCCUCCUGUCCCUGUACUGUCUAACCCCUACCUGCUCCUUAAUGACCUGUCCCUGUACUGUCUAACCCCUACCUGCUCCUUAGUGACCCAUCUCUGUACUGUCUCACCCCUACCUGCUCCUUAGUGACCCGUCUCUGUCACCCCUGUGAAGGGGGUCUUGGAUGGCAGAAUCAGUGCUACCUAUGGGCUCGGUCCUAUGUGUUACUUGGUGCUUGACUUGGUAGCGAUCCACUUAAGGCACGCUGCAUAAAAGUGUUUCCUCAAUGACUUGGAAGACAUUGGGGGCUGGGGCAGAGGUCGGGGUAGUGGGUGGUCCAUAGGGUUAAGUUAGGGUUGUUGUAGGGUUAGUGUCUGUGUUUUUUAGAAGUGCAGGGUCAUUCUAGAAGAAUGGUGUUGCUGCACCCCCCCUACCCCAUGUCACACCUAAGUCCCACCCCCUUUAACCAGUAGUCACCAAUAAACAACGUGACCCUCUUUGAAAUGACGUAGAAAUCGACCAAUCAGGACACCCGACAUCACAUCGUCUUUGGUUGCUGUUGUGGUUGUGUGUUUGCUAAAGAAAUGUGGUGUUGUUGUGUAUAGUUUGAAUGAGCAGUGACCGCUGUGGCUGACGAAGCUGGUCAUGUGACCAGGAAGAGACUAUUUCAUUGGUGCAGAGUGGAUGUGACCUCAUCUCUCUAGGAAGGAUCAUGACUUGAAGAUAUAAUCCGUUACAUUGUAUUGAGAACCACUUCACUAUAUAUCUACGGUGAUAUCACAGAACAGAAUAUUUGAAUGGCCCUACGGGUCUACGGGUCGUGUGUGGAAUGGUUUCAUCUCCAGGUUGAAAUAAGGGUUUCUAAUACUUGUGUACCAAGUAGAGGUCCGAAGAUGCUGUACAAGAACCAAGCCCAAAGGGACCAGGCACUGUAUUAUAUAAGGCCCAAGACCGCAGCAGAGUCUGAAGGAGCUCCAAGCGACCUCCAUCCAGAAAAAGCAGUUAUAUAACUAACUGAUGAAAAGACACACAGCAUGUGCUGUUUUACUCACCAUCGAAUCUCGUUACCAAUCAUUUGUUUGUGCUAUAAUCUUUAUUGGAUUACCUUGAAUGUUUUUAGACAUAAAAUAAUUUAUAAUAAUUAUAAUAACGAUAGUCAAAAAUAAUUUAUUAAAGUUGAAGGAAAAAAACCCUCAAACCGCUUUCGGGCCCCAGGGGUCAGAUCAUAGUUUAUCGAGGCUCAAGACCAAUGGCAGUCAGUUCAGACCCAAACCCGAUCAGAAGUAGAUUACUAGACAAGACUGUAUCCAUGAACCCAUUUGGUUCCGAUCCCACACCACCAGGUUGGAUUCGGCUGUGCCUGGCUGGGGUGGUUUAAAGACACCUCAUUAGAAUAGCAAGCAGCUAAAGAAGGGUCUACUGGGGGGAGUUACCGCUCUUUAAACGGUUUCUUAAGUCAUUCCGUGCAUGCCCUCCGCUGCUUCGACGAAAGACACGCAUCGCAGCAACGUCGCCAUGGAGACGGGCUGGAGAACGAGGACCAAACGAAAAACGCAAAGCACAUCACUGGAAAGACUGGAUGGGGGACGGCUUCUGGCGCCCCCGGCCGCUGGCAGAGUGUAACGACGCGAAAGAGUCGCUUCCUUGGAGUUCAGCCCCCCCUUCCCGUUAUCGCAGACGCAUAGGAAGCCGAUAUUCUUCAUAAUACUGUGAUAACUGUUCCUGUUUAAAUGUUAUAUCAGAUCUGAUCAAUAAAAAGAACGAAUGACA
ensembl:lncRNA